ACUUUAUUCAUUCUCCGAAAGAACCCAAUCUUCUGUCCCUUUCUAUAAUUCUUCAAAAACCUAAUUAACCCAUAUCUCUUCCUUUUUAUUCCUUUUCCAGGAGCCAAACCCAUAUGUCCAUUUCAAUUCUACAUAUCCUUGUCAUGCGUCAUUUUCCACAAACAUAACUUGUUGUUUUCUUAACUUUUUCUCAAGUUACUUUACAGUUACUUUACACUUCUAAAAAUUCAAUCUUGCAGGGAGCAAACAUGGUGUGAUAGCAGGUGGCAAUCCAUAACAACUGUCUCUCCUUAGCCAUGGUUGCAGACAUCCCUCCUCAGCACUAGAAGUAACGAGACUAGUUGAGAGAGAGGGAACCAAACAACGCAAUAACAGCAAACAGCGACGCCUCCAGCAGCCGCACGCCCAGGACCUUCAUAUAUCGGUAGACCAAAUAACUAAACGACAGACGAACUCCAGGACUUCAAGGAACUUUUGUUGGGCAUAUAAUAGAUUUUGUAAUUUAAACAAUAACUUUAUUUUGUAACAAUGUUUAUCUUUGUAUUUCUCAUAUAAUGAAGUCUUUAGACGAACGUC